UACGUAGGGUGCAAGCGUUUGUCCGGAAUUAUUGGGCGUAAAGAGCUCGUAGGCGGUCUGUCGCGUCUGCUGUGAAAACUCGGGGCUUAACCCCGGGCCUGCAGUGGGUACGGGCAGACUAGAGUGCGGUAGGGGGAGACUGGAAUUCCUGGUGUAGCGGUGAAAUGCGCAGAUAUCAGGAGAAACACCGGUGGCGAAGGCGGGUCUCUGGGCCGUAACUGACGCUGAGGAGCGAAAGCGUGGGGAGCGAACAGG
rnacentral:rRNA from 1 species